rnacentral:tRNA from 1 species
GGCCCAAUGGUCUAGUAGUAUGAUUCGCGCUUCGGGUCAGCGUUUGCGCGAGGUCCCGGGUUCAAUUCCCGGUUGGGCCC